AUGCUCACUUGGGCAGCACAUACACUAAAACUGGAAUGAUAACAAAAAGAUUAGCAUGGCCCCUGUACAAGGAUGACACGCAAAUUCAUGAAGUAUUCCAUAUUUUA